GACGAACGCUGGCGGCGUGCUUAACACAUGCAAGUCGAACGGAAAGGCCCUGCUUGCAGGGUACUCGAGUGGCGAACGGGUGAGUAACACGUGGGUGAUCUGCCCUGCACUUCGGGAUAAGCCUGGGAAACUGGGUCUAAUACCGGAUAGGAGCCAUUUUGAGUGUGAUGGUUGGAAAGUUUUUUCGGUGUAGGAUGAGCUCGCGGCCUAUCAGCUUGUUGGUGGGGUAAUGGCCUACCAAGGCGGCGACGGGUAGCCGGCCUGAGAGGGUGGACGGCCACAUUGGGACUGAGAUACGGCCCAGACUCCUACGGGAGGCAGCAGUGGGGAAUAUUGCACAAUGGGCGCAAGCCUGAUGCAGCGACGCCGCGUGGGGGAUGACGGCCUUCGGGUUGUAAACUCCUUUCGCUAGGGACGAAGCUUUUUGUGACGGUACCUAGAUAAGAAGCACCGGCUAACUACGU
rnacentral:rRNA from 1 species